rnacentral:rRNA from 1 species
UACAGAGGGGGCAAGCGUUGUUCGGAAUUACUGGGCGUAAAGGGCGCGUAGGCGGCCAACUAAGUCGGACGUGAAAUCCCCAGGCUCAACCUGGGAACUGCGUCCGAUACUGGAUGGCUUGAAUUCGGGAGAGGGAUGCAGAAUUCCAGGUGUAGCGGUGAAAUGCGUAGAUAUCUGGAGGAAUACCGGUGGCGAAGGCGGCAUCCUGGACCGACAUUGACGCUGAGGAGCGAAAGCUAGGGGAGCAAACGGG